UACGAAGGGGGCUAGCGUUGCUCGGAAUUACUGGGCGUAAAGCGCACGUAGGCGGAUUGUUAAGUCGGGGGUGAAAUCCUGGAGCUCAACUCCAGAACUGCCUUCGAUACUGGCGAUCUCGAGUUCGGGAGAGGUGAGUGGAACUGCGAGUGUAGAGGUGAAAUUCGUAGAUAUUGGGAAGAACACCGGUGGCGAAGGCGGCUCACUGGCCCGUAACUGACGCUCAUGCACGACAGCGUGGGGAUCAAACAGG
rnacentral:rRNA from 1 species